rnacentral:lncRNA from 1 species
AUUUGACUGAUUUUCUUUCUUUUUAAUAGGUCUUCUUUGGUGGACACCUGAAGAAUGACUAGAAACAGAACGAUAUAAAUCUUUGGAUUAUCUUUAUUUCUAUGGCAAUUUUAUUCUGAAGCUAUUUUGCUACUGCAACAAAGCCAGUGAAAAAAAACCAAGCCAAAACUCUAUAAUGCCAGUGGUGAUGGUGAGACUGAGCUGUGACAUGAGGAGGGGCUAACAUGUUGCAGUCAAUC